rnacentral:rRNA from 1 species
ACAGGUGCUGCAUGGCUGUCGUCAGCUCGUGUCGUGAGAGUGUUCGGGUUAAGUCCCGUAACGAGCGCAACCCUUGUCCUUAGUUACCAGCACGUUAUGUGGGCACUCUAAGGAGACUGCCGGUGACAAACCGGAGGAAGGUGGGGAUGACGUCAAGUCAUCAUGGCCCUUACGGCCUGGGCUACACACGUGCUACAAUGGUCGGUACAAAGGGUUGCCAAGCCGCGAGGUGGAGCUAAUCCCAAUAAAACCGAUCGUAGUCCGGAUCGCAGUCUGCAACUCGACUGCGUGAAGUCGGAAUCGCUAGUAAUCGUGAAUCAGAAUGUCACGGUGAAUACGUUCCCGGGCCUU